AGAGUUUGAUCAUGGCUCAGAACGAACGUUGGCGGCGUGGAUUAGGCAUGCAAGUCGAACGAGAACCAGCUUUGUAGCAAUACCGAGCUGGGGAAAGUGGCGAAAGGGGCAGUAAUGCGUGGGUAACGUACCUCGGGGAUGGGCAUAGCUGGUCUAACGGCCAGGUAAUUCCCAGCGAUUUGGUUGAGGGGCAUCCCUUGGCCAGGAAAUGAAUUUCGCCUCGAGAGCGGCUCACGUCGUAUUAGCUUGUUGGCGAGGUAACGGCUCACCAAGGCUAAGAUGCGUAGCGGGUGUGAGAGCACGACCCGCGCCACUGGCACUGAGACACUGGCCAGACACCUACGGGUGGCUGCAGUCGAGGAUCUUCGGCAAUGGGCGCAAGCCUGACCGAGCGACGCCGCGUGUGCGAAGAAGGCCUUCGGGUUGUAAAGCACUGUCGAGGGGGAGAAAGCCGCAAGGUUGAUCUAUCCCUGGAGGAAGCACGGGCUAAGUUCGUGCCAGCAGCCGCGGUAAGACGAACCGUGCGAACGUUGUUCGGAAUCACUGGGCUUAAAGGGCGCGUAGGCGGGUCAGCAAGUCCGGGGUGAAAUCUUUCGGCUCAACCGGAAAAGUGCCUCGGAUACUGCUGGUCUUGAGGGAGGUAGGGGUUUGUGGAACUUCUGGUGGAGCGGUGAAAUGCGUUGAUAUCAGAAGGAACGCCGGUGGCGAAAGCGACGAACUGGACCUCUUCUGACGCUGAGGCGCGAAAGCUAGGGGAGCAAACGGGAUUAGAUACCCUAGUAGUCC
rnacentral:rRNA from 1 species